AUACGUAGGGGGCGAGCGUUGUCCGGAAUGAUUGGGCGUAAAGGGCGCGUAGGCGGCCUGUUAAGUCUGGAGUGAAAGUCCUGUUUUCAAGAUGGGAAUUGCUUUGGAUACUGAUGGGCUUGAGUGCAGGAGAGGUUAUCGGAAUUCCCGGUGUAGCGGUGAAAUGCGUAGAGAUCGGGAGGAACACCAGUGGCGAAGGCGGGUAACUGGACAGUAACUGACGCUGAGGCGCGAAAGCGUGGGGAGCAAACAGGAUUAGAUGCCCUGGUAGUCCACGCCAUAAACGAUGAAUACUAGGUGUAGGGGGUAUCGACCCCCUCUGUGCCGACGUUAACACAUUAAGUAUUCCACCUGGGGAGUACGGCCGCAAGGCUGAAACUCAAAGGAAUUGACGGGG
rnacentral:rRNA from 1 species